rnacentral:lncRNA from 1 species
AAACAACCCCAUAAAAGUGGUAAAUUUGUUAAUAUAAGAAAAUAACGCCGUAAAAGGAGUGUAUCUUUUAACACUAGCAAACAACCCCAAAAAAGUGGUAUAUUUGUCGAUAUUAGAAAAUAACCUCAUAAGAGGGGUAUAUUUCUCAAUAUCAGAAGGCAACCCCAUAAGAGGGAUAUAUCUUUCAACAUUAUAAAACAACCCCAAAAAAGUG